rnacentral:rRNA from 1 species
AGUGAACGCUGGCGGUAGGCCUAAUACAUGCAAGUCGAACGGCAGCACAGUAAGAGCUUGCUCUUACGGGUGGCGAGUGGCGGACGGGUGAGGAAUACAUCGGAAUCUACUUUUUCGUGGGGGAUAACGUAGGGAAACUUACGCUAAUACCGCAUACGACCUACGGGUGAAAGCAGGGGAUCUUCGGACCUUGCGCGAUUGAAUGAGCCGAUGUCGGAUUAGCUAGUUGGCGGGGUAAAGGCCCACCAAGGCGACGAUCCGUAGCUGGUCUGAGAGGAUGAUCGGCCACACUGGAACUGAGACACGGUCCAGACUCCUACGGGAGGCAGCAGUAGGGAAUAUUGGGCAAUGGGCGCAAGCCUGAUCCAGCCAUACCGCGUGGGUGAAGAAGGCCUUCGGGUUGUAAAGCCCUUUUGUUGGGAAAGAAAAGCAGCGGAUUAAUACCCCGCUGUUCUGACGGUACCCAAAGAAUAAGCACCGGCUAACUUCGUG